rnacentral:misc_RNA from 1 species
UGCAGUUCAGCUAGCAAAGCUUGGAAACACACACGUCACAGCCACUUGCGGAGCUCGUAACAUCGAGUUUGUGAAGAGUUUAGGAGCUAAUGAGGUUCUGGAUUACAAGACUCCAGAAGGGGCAGCUCUGAAGAGCCCAUCUGGUAGGAAGUAUGAUGCAGUGAUCCACUGUGCCACUGGGAUUCCUUGGAGUACAUUUGAGCCUAAUUUGAGUGAAAAUGGCAAGGUUAUAGAUCUCACUCCUGGUGUUAGUGCCAUAAUGACUUAUGCUCUCAAGAAACUUACCUUCUCCAAGAAGCAGCUGGUGCCAUUGAUUGCUACUCCCAAGGGUGAAAACCUGGAUUAUCUUAUUAAAUUGGUGAAGGAAGGGAAGCUUAAGACAGUAAUUGACUCGAAGCAUCCCUUAAGCAAGGCUGAAGAUGCUUGGGCUAAGAGUGUUGAUAGCCAUGCUGCUGGCAAGAUUAUUGUGGAGCCUUAAAUACGUAUGUGAUCUUUUUUAAUUGUUAUGACGUUAACUAUUUUGUUGCUGUGGUGUAUUGGCCAGUAGAUUCAAACACAUUGGAUUUCAGUUUUGAGAGUUAAAAAUUUAUAUAUUUAU